rnacentral:rRNA from 1 species
GAUAUUGCACAAUGGAGGAAACUCUGAUGCAGCAACGCCGCGUGAGGGAAGAAGGUCUUCGGAUUGUAAACCUUAGUAGUCAGGGACGAAACAAAUGACGGUACCUGAAGAGUAAGCUCCGGCUAACUACGUGCCAGCAGCCGCGGUAAUACGUAGGGAGCGAGCGUUGUCCGGAUUUACUGGGUGUAAAGGGUGCGUAGGCGGGAUUGCAAGUCAGGCGUGAAAUACCGGGGCUUAACUCCGGGGCUGCGCUUGAAACUGUAGUUCUUGAGUGAAGUAGAGGCAGGCGGAAUUCCUAGUGUAGCGGUGAAAUGCGUAGAUAUUAGGAGGAACACCAGUGGCGAAGGCGGCCUGCUGGGCUUUAACUGACGCUGAGGCACGAAAGCAUGGGGAGCAAAC